UGCGGUCGCAGCCGCAUUUUGGGGUAAAACCCCCAGGUUUGGGGUAAAUCCCGCCUGUUUGGGGUAAAACCCGCCUGUUUGGGGCAAAACCUGCCGUUUGGAGUAAAACCCGCCGGUCUGGGGUCUGCUUCCCGGCCCUGAGAGCCCGGGGAUGGGAAUCAGUGAAGACAGGCAGCAGGAAAUCUGGGCUCCUUUUCCUUUUCCUUUUUCCUUUUCUUUUGCUCCAGGACAGCUCUGGAUGCUGCUUUUGGAUAACCUGCUAUUUUUCGGGCUGAAUAUCCAUUCUCCAGCAGCAAUCACACCCUUCCACGGGUCCACUUAACCCUAAACCACAGGACAAACAUCCCAAGGAAACCAGCGGGGCCCCACACGGCGACUGGGAACGAUCCUGCCUUGGAUUGAGGCUGAUUUUCUCCUCUCCUGGGUUUGUUUUUCCCCAUCCCUGGGGGAUCUCAGCUCAGUUCAGCACGCUCCAGCCAUCCCUGCUGCCCUGCCCUGCCCGUGCCAGCCUUUCCAAGGAGACCAGACCCGCUGGGCCGAGGAUUUUUUGGGAUUUUAGCAGAGCACCGAGGCUGUUUCUCCCCCUGCGAGCCAAGAGGGACAGAGCAGAGGCCAAGCUCGUGCCCCUGGGGAUGGAAUUGUGCCCACGGGAGCAGAAUUCCCCUCACCUGGCGGCAGCUGCUGCUCCUGGAUCCCGGAUUCUGGAAUACCCC